AACACCUGGAAUCUUGUUCAAAUGCAGAUUCUGAUUCAGUAUGUCUGGGGUGACAUUCAAGAUUCUGCGUUUCUAACAAGCUCCCAGGUGAUGCCCG
rnacentral:pre_miRNA from 1 species